rnacentral:rRNA from 1 species
UCAGGAUGAACGCUAGCGACAGGCCUAACACAUGCAAGUCGAGGGGCAGCGGGGCGAAGCUUGCUUUGCCUGCCGGCGACCAGCGCACGGGUGAGUAACACGGUAUGGAACCUGCCCGCCACAGGGGGAUAACCGGUAGAAAUGCCGACUAAUACCCCGUAUGCCCACAGGGGCGCAUGCCCUGGUGGGGAAACAUUCAUGGGUGGCGGAUGGCCAUGCGGCGCAUUAGCUGGUUGGCGGGGUAACGGCCCACCAAGGCGACGAUGCGUAGGGGGUUCUGAGAGGAAGGUCCCCCACAUUGGAACUGAGACACGGUCCAAACUCCUACGGGAGGCAGCAGUGAGGAAUAUUGGUCAAUGGGCGAGAGCCUGAACCAGCCAAGUAGCGUGCAGGAUGACGGCCCUAUGGGUUGUAAACUGCUUUUAUAAGGGAAUAAAGUGAGAGUCGUGACUCUUUUUGCAUGUACCUUAUGAAUAAGGACCGGCUAAUUCCGUG